UACGGGGGGAGCAAGCGUUGUUCGGAUUUACUGGGCGUAAAGGGCGCGUAGGCGGCCAGCACAAGUCAGUUGUGAAAUCUCCGAGCUUAACUCGGAACGGUCAACUGAUACUGUGCGGCUAGAGUGCGGAAGGGGCAACUGGAAUUCUUGGUGUAGCGGUGAAAUGCGUAGAUAUCAAGAGGAACACCUGCGGCGAAGGCGGGUUGCUGGGCCGACACUGACGCUGAGGCGCGAAAGCUAGGGGGAGCGAACGGG
rnacentral:rRNA from 1 species